rnacentral:rRNA from 1 species
GAUGAACGCUGGCGGCGUGCCUAAUACAUGCAAGUCGAGCGAACGGACGAGAAGCUUGCUUCUCUGAUGUUAGCGGCGGACGGGUGAGUAACACGUGGAUAACUUACCUAUAAGACUGGGAUAACUUCGGGAAACCGGAGCUAAUACCGGAUAAUAUUUUGAACCGCAUGGUUCAAAAGUGAAAGACGGUCUUGCUGUCACUUAUAGAUGGAUCCGCGCUGCAUUAGCUAGUUGGUAAGGUAACGGCUUACCAAGGCAACGAUGCAUAGCCGACCUGAGAGGGUGAUCGGCCACACUGGAACUGAGACACGGUCCAGACUCCUACGGGAGGCAGCAGUAGGGAAUCUUCCGCAAUGGGCGAAAGCCUGACGGAGCAACGCCGCGUGAGUGAUGAAGGUCUUCGGAUCGUAAAACUCUGUUAUUAGGGAAGAACAUAUGUGUAAGUAACUGUGCACAUCUUGACGGUACCUAAUCAGAAAGCCACGGCUAACUACGUG